rnacentral:rRNA from 1 species
GAUGAACGCUGGCGGCGUGCCUAAUACAUGCAAGUCGAGCGAACAGACGAGGAGCUUGCUCCUCUGACGUUAGCGGCGGACGGGUGAGUAACACGUGGAUAACCUACCUAUAAGACUGGGAUAACUUCGGGAAACCGGAGCUAAUACCGGAUAAUAUAUUGAACCGCAUGGUUCAAUAGUGAAAGACGGUUUUGCUGUCACUUAUAAAUGGAUCCGCGCCGCAUUACCUAGUUGGUAAGGUAACGGCUUACCAAGGCGACGAUGCGUAGCCGACCUGGGAGGUGGAUCGGCCACACUGGAACUGAGACACGGUCCAGACUCCUACGGGAGGCAGCAGUAGGGAAUCUUCCGCAAUGGGCGAAAGCCUGACGGAGCAACGCCGCGUGAGUGAUGAAGGUCUUCGGAUCGUAAAACUCUGUUAUUAGGGAAGAACAAAUGUGUAAGUAACUAUGCACGUCUUGACGGUACCUAAUCAGAAAGCCACGGCUAACUACGUG